GGACUACUAGGGUUUCUAAUCCUGUUUGCUCCCCACGCUUUCGUGCAUGAGCGUCAGUGUUGGCCCAGGAGGCUGCCUUCGCCAUCGGUGUUCCUCCACAUCUCUACGCAUUUCACCGCUACACGUGGAAUUCCACCUCCCUCUGCCACACUCUAGCCAAGUAGUUUCGAGCGCAGUUCCCAAGUUAAGCUCGGGGCUUUCACACUCGACUUGCUCGGCCGCCUGCGCACACUUUACGCCCAGUAAUUCCGAUUAACGCUCGCACCCUACGUAUUACCGCGGCUGCUGGCAC
rnacentral:rRNA from 2 species